rnacentral:rRNA from 1 species
UGGCUCAGAACGAACGCUGGCGGCGUGCUUAACACAUGCAAGUCGAGCGAUGAAGCACCUUCGGGUGUGGAUUAGCGGCGAACGGGUGAGGAACACGUGAGGAAUCUGCCUUCCACUCUGGGAUAACUCCGGGAAACCGGGGCUAAUACCGGAUACUUUCAACUGGCGGCAUCGCCGGUUGAAGAAAGUUUUUCGGUGGAAGAUGACCUCGCGGCCUAUCAGCUUGUUGGUGAGGUAAUGGCUCAGCAAAGCAACGACGGGUAGCCGGCCUGAGAGGGCGACCGGCCAC